UACGGAGGGGGCUAGCGUUGUUCGGAAUUACUGGGCGUAAAGCGCACGUAGGCGGCUUUGCAAGUCAGAGGUGAAAGCCCCGGGGCUCAACCCCGAAUGAGCUUUGAGACUGCAUCGCUUGAACAUCGGAGAGGUAAGUGGAAUUCCGAGUGUAGAGGUGAAAUUCGUAGAUAUUCGGAAGAACACCAGUGGCGAAGGCGACUUACUGGACGAUUGUUGACGCUGAGGUGCGAAAGCGUGGGGAGCAAACAGGG
rnacentral:rRNA from 1 species